UCACAUCAUAGGACGGAACACACUUGGCGAAAAAUGGAUGCCCUGGUUGCGCCUCUGCAUACCCCUUCGGAAAUGCGUGAUGUGUGUGCCUAAUGGUAAAAUUAGAAACCAUAUUAAGUAGACAAUCACUUGCAUUAUCAAUCGCGAUUCGUAAAAUAAUAAUGUCAUUCUAUGAUAAAGUAAAACUUUAAAGUAAAAGUAACUCGAUAUCAGUCACAGUACUCAAGUUUCAAAUAAAUUAAAAGAAGUAACACCACCUAGGGAAAACAGGGAGAAUUAGAACCUUUAGAAAUCUCAUUUACUAUAAGAAAAACAACAACUACAACUACUACUAGCCACCCUCAUCAAAGAAUUGGGAGGAAAAGAACAAUACGAGGUAAUAAAAAAAAUAUAAUUUAUUCUCGCGUAUUGUAUACGAGAAUAAUGAAAAAAAUAUUUUCUUUUAUUAUAGAUUUAGGUAAAGUAGUAAAAAGUAUUCAUAGACAUUUGUUUUAUUUAAUACUUUUUGGUUAAUUACAAUUUUCUGUAAUUUUUUUUAUCUGUAUCUCAGAUGUACCUACAACCUGAGCCUACAACGUAAAUUUUCUCUGCCAAAUAGAAAUGUCAUUAUCUGUCAAAAUCAUCAAAAUGUUCACAAAAUAGCAAUCAAUGUUUAAUAAAUAAAACUAAUUGUCACAAUGACGUAGCAUUUAAACCUGGCUUUUGAAUUGAUUUAACAAGCAUGGACUGUUGCGGGGGCAGCGAUGGCAUGAAGUGCUGCGAUGACUCCCUGUUUGCAAACCCGAACGUAUUCUACAUCUCCCUGAUGCUCCUGAUGCUCAUUGUAUACCUCUCAUGGUCACUGUACGCGUGUCACUAUUGUGGCGAAAGUGCACAAUGCCCACGAUCGAAUUAAUUUAGUCAAAAUCACAAAAUUGAAUCUCCACUGGUAGCUUAUAGCUAUAUCACAACUAACCGGACCGCAAUGAUUGUGGAGUAGAUUAUCAUGAAAUCCCACGAAGUAUAAUGGGUUGUUGCGAAGGCGGUUGCACAAACGACACAUGGGACGUAUUCUAUCAAGAUCACAAGGCGCAUGGUUUUCUGUUAGGACUGGUUUUCAUCGCGUUAUUUCUUGCCUAUCGUCUCUAUCGAUGUCACCACCCAAGACGAAGUCUUCUUUGUUGGUGAAACGAAAAUUGCUCUGAAAGUAGGCGUCUUUGGCCACUUGGAAGAGCUUGGCGCUGUUCUUCUCACCGGUCUCUCGCACCAUGGAUGAGAACUGAC